CCGGAAGGCAUAUUUAGUGGCGAACGGGUGAGUAAUGCAUGAGAACGUAUCCUCAAGAGGGGGACAACAUUGGGAAACCGAUGCUAAUACCCCAUAAGCCGGGAGGUAAAAGGAGCAAUCCGCUUGAGGAGCGGUUCAUGUCCUAUCAGCUAGUUGGUGAGGUAACGGCUCACCAAGGCGAAGACGGGUAGCCGGCCUGAGAGGGUGAACGGCCACACUGGAACUGAGAGACGGUCCAGACUCCUACGGGAGGCAGCAGUGGGGAAUAUUGGGCAAUGGGGGAAACCCUGACCCAGCGACGCCGCGUGAGGGAAGAAGGCCUUAGGGUCGUAAACCUCUGUUGUGUGGGAAGAAGAGCGUGACGGUACCACACGAGGAAGUCCCGGCUAACUACGUGCCAGCAGCCGCGGUAAUACGUAGGGGACGAGCGUUGUCCGGA
rnacentral:rRNA from 1 species